rnacentral:rRNA from 1 species
GAUGAACGCUGGCGGCGUGCCUAAUACAUGCAAGUCGAGCGAACGGACGAGAAGCUUGCUUCUCUGAUGUUAGCGGCGGACGGGUGAGUAACACGUGGAUAACCUACCUAUAAGACUGGGAUAACUUCGGGAAACCGGAGCUAAUACCGGAUAAUAUUUUGAACCGCAUGGUUCAAAAGUGAAAGACGGUCUUGCUGUCACUUAUAGAUGGAUCCGCGCUGCAUUAGCUAGUUGGUAAGGUAACGGCUUACCAAGGCAACGAUGCAUAGCCGACCUGAGAGGGUGAUCGGCCACACUGGAACUGAGACACGGUCCAGACUCCUACGGGAGGCAGCAGUAGGGAAUCUUCCGCAAUGGGCGAAAGCCUGACGGAGCAACGCCGCGUGAGUGAUGAAGGUCUUCGGAUCGUAAAACUCUGUUAUUAGGGAAGAACAUAUGUGUAAGUAACUGUGCACAUCUUGACGGUACCUAAUCAGAAAGCCACGGCUAACUACGUGCCAGCAGCCGCGGUAAUACGUAGGUGGCAAGCGUUAUCCGGAAUUAUUGGGCGUAAAGCGCGCGUAGGCGGUUUUUUAAGUCUGAUGUGAAAGCCCACGGCUCAACCGUGGAGGGUCAUUGGAAACUGGAAAACUUGAGUGCAGAAGAGGAAAGUGGAAUUCCAUGUGUAGCGGUGAAAUGCGCAGAGAUAUGGAGGAACACCAGUGGCGAAGGCGACUUUCUGGUCUGUAACUGACGCUGAUGUGCGAAAGCGUGGGGAUCAAACAGGAUUAGAUACCCUGGUAGUCCACGCCGUAAACGAUGAGUGCUAAGUGUUAGGGGGUUUCCGCCCCUUAGUGCUGCAGCUAACGCAUUAAGCACUCCGCCUGGGGAGUACGACCGCAAGGUUGAAACUCAAAGGAAUUGACGGGGACCCGCACAAGCGGUGGAGCAUGUGGUUUAAUUCGAAGCAACACGAAGAACCUUACCAAAUCUUGACAUCCUUUGACAACUCUAGAGAUAGAGCCUUCCCCUUCGGGGGACAAAGUGACAGGUGGUGCAUGGUUGUCGUCAGCUCGUGUCGUGAGAUGUUGGGUUAAGUCCCGCAACGAGCGCAACCCUUAUGCUUAGUUGCCAUCAUUAAGUUGGGCACUCUAAGUUGACUGCCGGUGACAAACCGGAGGAAGGUGGGGAUGACGUCAAAUCAUCAUGCCCCUUAUGAUUUGGGCUACACACGUGCUACAAUGGACAAUACAAAGGGCAGCGAAACCGCGAGGUCAAGCAAAUCCCAUAAAGUUGUUCUCAGUUCGGAUUGUAGUCUGCAACUCGACUACAUGAAGCUGGAAUCGCUAGUAAUCGUAGAUCAGCAUGCUACGGUGAAUACGUUCCCGGGUCU